rnacentral:lncRNA from 1 species
GUAAGGAGCAGAACGUGUGAUUUAAAUCCCAACAACAAGGAAGCCUUGCCUUCUUAGUUUAAGUUAGAGGCGAAUGAAAUCCUUACAAAGUCUUCAUUCCAAGCAACUUUCAUAGAUAAAAAAAAUGUUGAAAUCAGAAGCUUUAGGUCCAAGAAAAAUUUCGUUCACAUUUAGAAGCAGAGCUUCAUUCGUUGGUUUUAGCAUAUUUCACGGAAGCAGAAGCUUCAUUCUGUUCAAAUAAUUUCAAGAACAGGUAUGUUAACGUCCUCACUUCUUUCUUUUGUCAUGGUCCAAAUUAUACUGAAGAAACAAACAAAUACAUAGUUUCUAUAAAUUACUCUAUUCAUAGAAAUAGUAGGGGUGUCUAUAUUCUUGAUUCCCCAUGAGAAUUAUCAUUAUCUUCUGUUCAUGGGUCUCAGAAUAAUACGGAGUUGAAAAAGUUUAUCCGGAAGGAGUAUCGAGAUUAUUACGUAUUUUUCAUGCAUUUCACUCAUUUAUACAUGUGCAUUGACCCAUGAUCAGAUGGCGUUAUAUACGUGUAUAUAUGUAAAUAUAUGUAUAUGGGAUAUGGGAAAAGGUUAUGGCGUUAUAUACGCACCACCACCUGAUCAGCUGGUAUAUAAUGAUGAUAUUGCCCACAGUGGCUAAAAUAUGAUUCAAACAACGUUAUAUACGCGUAUAUAUGUAUGUAUUCAAACGGAGUUAUAUACGCGUGUAUAUGUAUGUAUAUAUAUGUAUAUGGGAUAUGGAAAAAGUUAUGGUGUUAUAUACGCACCACCACCUGAUCAGCUGGUAUAUUGCCCACAGUGGCCGAGAUGAUAUGAUGGGAUGCCCUCAGUGGCUUGAUGAUAUUAUGUAUAUCCAUACCUAUGCAUGGCAUGAUAUUUACACGCAUGUGCAUCACGUUAUAAACGUUUCAAAAUUUACAAAGUUAUUCAGAUUUAAAGAUGUGUUUCAGUAUUCCAUGUUUCAUGUAUGUCUAUUACGUACUAAUUUUCAUGCCUUACAUACUCAGUACAUUUUUUGUACUGACGCCCUAUUCCACGGGGCCUGCGUUUCAUGCCCGCAGGUGCAGGUAGGCGAGCUGACGAUCCUCUUUCUUAGGAUCCCUGAUCAGCGAGAGUUGGCGUGCUUCAUUUGAUCCGGAGCUGCUUUUGAUAUUGGUACGAUAUGUUUGUACAUAUAUAUGUAUAUGAGUAUGACGUGGUUCAGUCCCGUCUUUGUACAAUUAUGUUUCUAUUAGAGGUCUGUAGACAGUAUGUCUAGUUGGGUUGUACGUGGCCUUGUCGGCUUUUAGUUUUUGAUGUGUAGCUGUCUAUAGCAGCCUUGCCGGCUCGAUCACUGUAUUCUGCCUGUAUACGUACAUAUGCCUUGAUGGCAGGCUUCUUUCACGUAUGUUAAUUUUGUAAUGCAGCAGAUGUUAUUCAGGUUCAUAUUUUAGAUGCAUGCUUAGGGGUGUUUGACAGGUAGGACUCAGGCGCCCGUCGCGGCCCAUCGUUUUGGGUCGUGACAACCUUAUCUUGAGGGAUUAGGAGUUGGGUCCUAUUUGCUAUGUGGUAAUUGUUGAGUACGACGUAUAGGCAUGGUGACGAGUAUCUAUACGUUGGUGUCUAGCAUGCCCGUGAGUCUUUAUAUUGUGAUUAUCAUGACUUUGUUGUAUCCUUCAUGCCUUAGUGGCAAUUUCUAUUUGUUGUAUAAAGUUUGUGGAAGGAAUUGUGACCUAUGAACAUUGAGGAGCAUUGGCUCAAGUUGUAUAAUGAAUUGUGAAAGUAUAAGCGAUAGUUGAACCUCUACAUCAUUGGCUCAAGUUGUGAAGUGAAUAGUGAAGUAAAAGUGAGAAAGAGAAGAGAUCAUUAUGUUGUCACCCUUGCCGGGUUAUUGUGGAUUUAUCUGUUAUCUCCCUUGCCGAGAUGUUGAUGUUAUUGAUGUUGUUCCCUUGCCGGGAUUUAAUUGUUAGUUGUUCCCUUGCCGGGAUGUUGAUGUUAUUGAUGUUGUUCCCUUGCCAGGAUUUAAUUGUUGAAUAGUUGUUCCAUUGCGGGGAAUUGUAUUGCAAUUUCAUUUAUUCCCUUGCCCUAUUGUUUGUGAUUGUUUUUUGGGUGAAGAAGAAAGUUAAAGCACGAAGGGUGAUGUCGUGCAUUGUUUGUUUUGUGAGGAAAAAGUGUAAAGCACGAAGGGUGAUACCGUGUAUGAUUGUGAGAAAAGAGUGUAAAGCACGAAGGGUGAUGUCGUGCCGCACAAUGUACCAUUCCGUGCCGAUUAUAUUGAUUAUAUGGCGAGGAAAGAGAGUAAAAACAGAAAGGGUGAUGUCGUGCACAUUUUUUAUUAUAUGAUUGCUUUGGUGAGGACGAGAGUAAAAGCACGAAGGGUGAUGUCGUGCAUUUAUUGAUUUCUGAUUCUUUGUUGAUUCCGAUUUAUGUUGUUUCUUUCGUUUACUUGAUGUCUUUCUAUUCGGAAUUGUUAUCUCCCCCACAACAUGCUUCCCCUCCCAUACUUGACUGGUUAUUUCUGUAUUUCUUUUCCGCUGUAUAUAUUUGAACUGCACAGGUCUAUUUGGUAGUCUGGUCCUAGCUUCGUCACUGCUUUGCCGAGGUUAGGCUAGACACUUACCAGCACAUGGGGGUCGGUUGUGCUGAUACUACACUCUGCACUAUGUGCAGAUCCUGGAGCAGCUCUUGGACCGUAGUUGGAGGCUACCUUCAGUCCACGCGGAGAUCCAAGGUAGACCUGCAGGCUUCCGCAGGCCCUGACGUCUCCCUCUAUCCCUAUUUCCUGUUUCAUUUUCCUUUUGUUCAAAAACAGUGCAUUGUUAUUUCUUCAGACUUUAUAUGUAGUAAAUCUUAGUCUGUCUGUGACACUGUGAUACCGGGUUUUGGGUGAUUAAGGCUUGAGUAAUUGAAAUAGACAUAGAUUUCCGAUGUGUUAUUGA